GUUCACAUCCACGAGAUGUUCACAUAUUAACUGGUGAAAAUAAUUGAACAGAGAAAAUCCAAUGAUGCAGAAGUCGAGUCACUGCGAUAGGAAUACCAUCAAAGGGUUGCAACACUUGAAAGGAAGGUAGGUCUUCUCAUAAAGUCUUGUUUAUAAUCGUGCUUGGAUUGAUCUAGGUGUUAUAUGUGCCCGUUAUGUUUUUGAUGAAAUUGGUACUUGCCUAUUUUUAAUUCAGCUCCUGAUAAUUGGAGGGGCUAUGCCAACUUAUGAUUGCAGGUGUAUGCUCUUACAAAGGAAAGGGACACGCUUUGGCGGGAGCAGAAUAAGAAAAGUGAUGCAGCUGCUCUUCUGAAGGAAAAGGAUGAAAUAAUUAAUCAAGUUAUGGCUGAAGCUGAAGAGCUUUCAAAAAAGCAGGCUGCUCAAGAAGGACAGAUUAGGAAAUUAAGGGCUCAGAUCAGAGAGUUUGAAGAAGAGAAGAAAGGGUUGAUUACUAAACUUCAGCAUAUUGAAGAGCAAUUUGGUUGUGGUCGUCUAUUGGCUUGUAUCUCAUCACGACCUGGACAGUGGCUGUGCUGAUGGGAUGGGAAAACAUUGGACAAUGAGUUGGAGGUUGUUGAGGGAAUGAAGCUAGACAGGGGCUACAUAUCCCCUUAUUUCAUCACCAACCAGAACAAUCAGAAAUGUGAAUUGGAAAAUCCUCUAAUCAUAAUCCAUGAGAAGAAAAUCUCAAGUAUUAAUGAUGUGGUUAAAGUAUUGGAGUUGGUUUUGCAGUUAUGAUUUCAGAUCUGUAGAUAACCUGUUGUUGCUGAUAUUGCUACACGGGAGGAGAACAGAACAACUUGGAAAAUGUGCAAGAAGGGAGAGCUAACUCAUACAACGAAGAACAAAUUGAUGAAGUUAAGAUCAAAUUAGUAGAAUUUGUGAGCUCUCCAUUAUUUAUAAUUAUAGGUAGGAAGUAUGUAUGUAAUAGAGUAAA